UCUAUCUGUUGUGGGCGUUGAGAUUUGAGGAGAACCGGCACUAGUACGAGAGGACCGUGCUGGACAGACCUCCGGUGUACCGGUUGUACCGUCAGGUGCACCGCCGGGUAGCCGCGUCUGGGCAGGAUAAGUGCUGAAAGCAUCUAAGCACGAAGCCGGCUCCAAGAUAAGAUCUCACUAAGGGCCGUUGAAGACGACGACGUAGAUAGGCUGCAGGUGUAAGCGUGGUGACGCGCUCAGCCGAGCGGUACUAAUUGCCCGAAGUUCCGGAGAAA
rnacentral:rRNA from 1 species